rnacentral:piRNA from 1 species
UCAAUCUGUUUUUCCCAGUUGUGUGUGCU